GUGGGGAAUAUUGGACAAUGGGCGCAAGCCUGAUCCAGCCAUGCCGCGUGAGUGAUGAAGGCCCUAGGGUUGUAAAGCUCUUUUGUGCGGGAAGAUAAUGACGGUACCGCAAGAAUAAGCCCCGGCUAACUUCGUGCCAGCAGCCGCGGUAAUACGAAGGGGGCUAGCGUUGCUCGGAAUCACUGGGCGUAAAGGGUGCGUAGGCGGGUCUUUAAGUCAGGGGUGAAAUCCUGGAGCUCAACUCCAGAACUGCCUUUGAUACUGAAGAUCUUGAGUUCGGGAGAGGUGAGUGGAACUGCGAGUGUAGAGGUGAAAUUCGUAGAU
rnacentral:rRNA from 1 species